rnacentral:lncRNA from 1 species
UUGGUAUUUUACAAAUUGUGUUACUUUAGUGGACACGUGGAGACAUGGACGCUGACUGUUGGAAGAAUUCGUCAAUUCAGACUGGCGCAAAGAGCUAUCAGGGCGCGAUGCCAGGAAUUUCAUUGCGAGACAGAAUUCGAAAUGAGGAUAUUCGCCAACGCAAUAAAGUUACCGACAUUGCAAAAAGGAUUAACUCAAGUGGGAAUGGACCGGCUAUAUUUUUCGCAGAGAUGACGAUCAAUGGGGUCGCCUAGUAUUGCUGUGGAGACCUAGCCUGGGUGGCCGAGGUGGCGGGAAACCACGAGCAGAUGGUCGGAUGACAUCAAAAAAGGGCAGGGCCCACCUGGCACAGAACCGUCACAUAUAGAACGGAGUGGAAACCCACGGAAUGCAGACCAGGAUUAUAUACUUUAGGUAUGAGUUUGUUACUUUUGCUCAUAAUAACAUGGAGUAUGUCACAGCUGCUCCACGGGCUGCAUUGAGGGGCAACAGGAGCGAAAAUGUUAAAAUGGAAAGGAGCUCCCCCUUUCAAUUAGGGAAUCUUAGGAUAUGCUAAGGCAAACAGAAGGAGGCAAGGAACGGGACGGGACUGCAUCAAUUGCUGUCUGGAACCAAUCUUGUGGGAUGACUUCUGGACAGGGAAAAAACAAUUUCAUCAUCUACCCUAAUACUGACGAAUGUUCUAAAACGUGCUGUAAGGCAGACAUUUCCAAAUGUAACGGAGGAAAGUUUCGAGACAUGUAAUGGUUUCAACACGCUGCUGAGACCCAACUCAAGAGACGUCAGUUUGUACUGUUUAGUCCAUUCUCUAUUGGGCAUGCUUGUAUUGAGAGGUAUAUAUAUUGGAGUACAGACAUGGUGUUUGGUAUGAGUAUUAUAUACAUCCUCUUGAGUCAAAUAGGACCGGUAGCCACUUUGAACUCCGUGUCCGAAAGGGUCAAAGUAUGGAGCUCCCGGUACUCAGAAAAAAAUUCUGGCCUAUUAGUUUUGAACUUUCGAGUCAAGUUUGGUGUCAUUUUUAUGUAAACUAUUCGUUUCGUUUUUAAAUUGAAGAAGAUUAAAAAUCACAGUAAUAUUAUAAAGGCAAAAGUUUGUGAGCAUACUGUGUUUGUUACUUCCUCACGCCACGCCCAAGUGCCUUAACAAAUAUUAUUUAUAAAAUUAAGUAUGGAGGAAGUACGAUAUACCCUAAGUUAACACGUCACUUCUUCUUGAUCGUGGGUACCACUCGGGGCGCAGUAUAAUGAUUAUUAAAAAUCUUUAUGCUGUCCCCUAUGCUGCGAUGGCGAUCGUUGCAGUACUUUCAAUAUUUUUUUUACAUCAAAUAUUAGAAUCAUCAAAGAUUACUAAUAAAAUAGGCUUUUUAGAAAUAUUUUUUAAAAAUCAUGAUUAGUAUAAAAAUACGGAAAUAUGAGGAUUUGUUUGCAUUUCGUGGCUACUAAAAAUUCAUUUAAAUUAUUAAAUAUUGUGCUAUAUUUUGCUAUGGAACCCUAAAAAAGUAGUUACAUAAAAAUGACACUAAAAUUGACUCAAAAGCUCAAACUAAUCGGCCAGAA